CCUACGGGAGGCAGCAGUGAGGAAUAUUGGUCAAUGGACGAGAGUCUGAACCAGCCAAGUAGCGUGAAGGAUGACUGCCCUAUGGGUUGUAAACUUCUUUUAUAUGGGAAUAAAAUGUUCCACGUGUGGGAUUUUGUAUGUACCAUAUGAAUAAGGAUCGGCUAACUCCGUGCCAGCAGCCGCGGUAAUACGGAGGAUCCGAGCGUUAUCCGGAUUUAUUGGGUUUAAAGGGAGCGUAGGUGGAUUGUUAAGUCAGUUGUGAAAGUUUGCGGCUCAACCGUAAAAUUGCAGUUGAAACUGGCAGUCUUGAGUACAGUAGAGGUAGGCGGAAUUCGUGGUGUAGCGGUGAAAUGCUUAGAUAUCACGAAGAACUCCGAUUGCGAAGGCAGUUCACUGGACUGCAACUGACGCUGAGGCGCGAAAGUGUGGGUAUCAAACAGGAUUAGAUACCCCAGUAGUC
rnacentral:rRNA from 1 species